rnacentral:siRNA from 1 species
AGCCCAACAUGACUUUGGAGGCGA